rnacentral:lncRNA from 1 species
UUAGCAAGUACUUGGAUUAUUAAUUGAUUAUGUGAAUUACAUUCAAACUUGUCUUUAUUAAUUGAACUUUAUUCAACACUUUACUUUUCAUUGCACACUCUAAAAACCCCUAUUUUGAUUACCUUAGAUAAACACCAUAACAAUAGAUAACAAUAGAUUGACACUUGGUCUCUGUGGAUUUGAUAAUCUUUUAUAUUACUCUGACGCGUUCGUAUACUUGCGAAAAACACACAUCAAACUACAACUGCUACUACAACAGCUAAUCAAAAGCAUGCUAACAAAAAAACAUUUACAAAAAUCACUAUGCCUCAUCGUUCAGAGAAACCUCAUCAACAACAUUUCCACUUGAUAAAAUGUAUCAACGAAUCUGAACCUUGAAACAAUAAUGUAAUUGACAUGAGGUAUUCUAAACACAAACUGGUUCAAUACAGAUUUUAACCACACACCAUCAAGAACAAUUAGGAUUUAAACCUAGUUGCCACCAUAUUCAAAUUGCAGGUUCCACUAAGGAACAACAUAAUUUAUAUUCAAACUUCCAAUGACCAUACAAGCUGCUUACAGUGACCACACCUUAAAAUAGAAAUCAAAUCAUAUCAAAUUAACAAUUAUAAGCAAAUAUAUCGGUUAUUGUUCAAAAAGUGGAAGAAAAUAAAAAUAAAGCUAAAUCAAUUGAUUGGGAAAAGCAAAUUUUAGACAUAAAAUGCAUGAAUUGGGAGAUUUAGAGAGAAGGGCAAAUAAGAGUUUUCUAAAACAUUGAAUUUUUUUUAUAUUAUAGAUGUUAAAUGUCAAAAAAAAAUUAAUGUGAAGCUAGCAUUAAGAUAAUUA